rnacentral:misc_RNA from 1 species
CCAAUAGCGUAUAUUAAAGUUGUUGCAGUUAAAAAGCUCGUAGUUGAAUUUCAGGCCUGGCUGGACGGUCCGCCCUUCGGGUGAGUACUGUCUGUGGUCGGGUCCUACCUUCUGGCGAAGCGUCAUGGCCUUAACCGGCCGUGGCGGGGAACCAGGACUUUUACUGUGAAAAAAUUAGAGUGUUCAAAGCAGGCAAAUCGCUUGGAUACAUUAGCAUGGAAUAAUGGAAUAGGACAAUGGUUCUAUUUGUUGGUUUCUAGGACCGUUGUAAUGAUUAAUAGGGAUAGUUGGGGGCAUUAGUAUUCAAUUGUCAGAGGUGAAAUUCUUGGAUUUAUUGAAGACUAACUACUGCGAAAGCAUUUGCCAAGGAUGUUUUCAUUAAUCAAGAACGAAAGUUAGGGGAUCGAAGACGAUCAGAUACCGUCGUAGUCUUAACCAUAAACUAUGCCGACUAGGGAUCGGAUGAUGUUAAUUUUUUAAUGACUCAUUCGGCGCCUUACG